AACGAACGCUGGCGGCAUGCCUAACACAUGCAAGUCGAACGAGACCUUCGGGUCUAGUGGCGCACGGGUGCGUAACGCGUGGGAACCUGCCUUUAGGUUCGGAAUAACUCAGAGAAAUUUGAGCUAAUACCGGAUAAUGUCUUCGGACCAAAGAUUUAUCGCCUUUAGAUGGGCCCGCGUUGGAUUAGCUAGUUGGUGGGGUAAAGGCCUACCAAGGCGACGAUCCAUAGCUGGUCUGAGAGGAUGAUCAGCCACACUGGGACUGAGACACGGCCCAGACUCCUACGGGAGGCAGCAGUGGGGAAUAUUGGACAAUGGGCGAAAGCCUGAUCCAGCAAUGCCGCGUGAGUGAUGAAGGCCUUAGGGUUGUAAGCUCUUUUACCCGAGAUGAUAAUGACAGUAU
rnacentral:rRNA from 1 species